GAUGAACGCUGGCGGCGUGCUUAACACAUGCAAGUCGAACGAUUAAAGCCCCUUCGGGGGUGUAUAGAGUGGCGAACGGGUGAGUAACACGUGGGCAACCUGCCCUUCACUUCGGGAUAACUCAGGGAAACCUGAGCUAAUACCGGAUACUUCGGGAUGGUCGCAUGGCCGACCCGGGAAAGCUCCGGCGGUGAGGGAUGGGCCCGCGGCCCAUUAGCUUGUUGGUGAGGUAAUGGCUCACCAAGGCAACGAUGGGUAGCCGAGCUGAGAGGCUGAUCGGCCACACUGGGACUGAGACACGGCCCAGACUCCUACGGGAGGCAGCAAUGAGGAAUAUUGCGCAAUGGGGGAAACCCUGACGCAGCGACGCCGCGUGGGCGAGGAAGUCCUUCGGGAUGUAAAGCCCUUUUGUUGGGGAAGAGAAGUGGGGCGUAAGCCUCACCGCGACGGUACCCAACGAAUAAGCCCCGGCUAACUACGUGCCAGCCGCCGCCGUAAAAC
rnacentral:rRNA from 1 species